rnacentral:rRNA from 1 species
GGCCUAACACAUGCAAGUCGAGCGGAAACGACACUAACAAUCCUUCGGGUGCGUUAAUGGGCGUCGAGCGGCGGACGGGUGAGUAAUGCCUAGGAAAUUGCCUUGAUGUGGGGGAUAACCAUUGGAAACGAUGGCUAAUACCGCAUGAUGCCUACGGGCCAAAGAGGGGGACCUUCGGGCCUCUCGCGUCAAGAUAUGCCUAGGUGGGAUUAGCUAGUUGGUGAGGUAAUGGCUCACCAAGGCGACGAUCCCUAGCUGGUCUGAGAGGAUGAUCAGCCACACUGGAACUGAGACACGGUCCAGACUCCUACGGGAGGCAGCAGUGGGGAAUAUUGCACAAUGGGCGAAAGCCUGAUGCAGCCAUGCCGCGUGUAUGAAGAAGGCCUUCGGGUUGUAAAGUACUUUCAGUUGUGAGGAAGGGUGUGUAGUUAAUAGCUGCGCAUCUUGACGUUAGCAACAGAAGAAGCACCGGCUAACUCCGUGCCAGCAGCCGCGGUAAUACGGAGGGUGCGAGCGUUAAUCGGAAUUACUGGGCGUAAAGCGCAUGCAGGUGGUUCAUUAAGUCAGAUGUGAAAGCCCGGGGCUCAACCUCGGAACUGCAUUUGAAACUGGUGAACUAGAGUACUGUAGAGGGGGGUAGAAUUUCAGGUGUAGCGGCGAAAUGCCUACAGAUCUGA